GAUGAACGCUGGCGGCGUGCUUAACACAUGCAAGUCGAACGAAGCAUUUAGAACAGAUUACUUCGGUUUGAAGUUCUUUAUGACUGAGUGGCGGACGGGUGAGUAACGCGUGGGUAACCUGCCUUGUACUGGGGGAUAGCAGCUGGAAACGGCUGGUAAUACCGCAUAAGCGCACAAUGUUGCAUGACAUGGUGUGAAAAACUCCGGUGGUAUAAGAUGGACCCGCGUCUGAUUAGCUAGUUGGUGAGAUAACAGCCCACCAAGGCGACGAUCAGUAGCCGACCUGAGAGGGUGACCGGCCACAUUGGGACUGAGACACGGCCCAGACUCCUACGGGAGGCAGCAGUGGGGAAUAUUGCACAAUGGAGGAAACUCUGAUGCAGCGACGCCGCGUGAGUGAAGAAGUAAUUCGUUAUGUAAAGCUCUAUCAGCAGGGAAGAUAGUGACGGUACCUGACUAAGAAGCGCCGGCUAAAUACGUG
rnacentral:rRNA from 1 species